rnacentral:rRNA from 1 species
AACGUAGGACGCAAGCGUUAUCCGGAGUUACUGGGCGUAAAGCGCGGGCAGGCGGUCUUGCCAGUCUGAUGUGAAAUCUCCCCGCUCAACGGGGAGCAGCCAUUGGAAACUACAAGACUGGAGUCUGACAGAGGUAGGCGGAAUUCCGGGUGGAGUGGUGAAAUGCGUAGAGAUCCGGAGGAACACCAGAGGCGAAGGCGGCCUACUGGGUCAGUACGUGACGCUGAGCCGCGAAAGCCAGGGGAGCGAACGGG